AACGCACAUUGCGCCCUUUGGUAUUCCGAAGGGCAUGCCUGUUCGAGCGUCAUUGUAAAAUCUCAAGCCUAGCUUGGUAUUGGGCUCUUCGUCUCUAGGGGCGGGCCUGAAAGUCAGUGGCGGUGCCACCGUGCCUCAAGCGUAGCAGAUAAACCUCGCUUUGGAGGCGUCGGUCUUGGUUCAACCAGCCUACAACCCAAUUCUAAAAGAGUUUGACCUCGGAUCAGGUAGGGAUACCCGCUGAACUUAA
rnacentral:misc_RNA from 1 species